AGAUGCCUUAUUAUCUUCUCCCGGCAGGGUUUUGAGCCCAAGAAUAAAGGCUCAAGUUCUAUCAAAGAGAAGAUGGUGAUCCUGAAACAGAUGCUUCUCCUUCAGCCCCUGGAGGAAGCACUUGUCUUGGUGGUUUUGGACAGAAAGAGAGGCAAAAGGUUCCCCUUUCUCAGAAGGAUCUGGGAUGGUCAAGGAGCUAGUUGGUCUUCAAGGGGAUGCUUUUACAAGACUGAGAGAGUGAAAGGAAAUAAAGGAAAGUGGACAUUGUUGUGAAGCUGCAAGCAUUUAUUAGUAGCCAUCAUUUAUGCCUCCUGCGUGCCAGCCAUUGUACAGAAAUUGUCCCUUAUAAGCCAAACUCUGACAUCAACCCACUGACUACAUAAGAAGUAUGUCGCGAGAGAUCCAGGCUCACCCAGGUCACGUGGCUCCUCCUUUGCAGACAACACAAGGC
rnacentral:lncRNA from 1 species